CAGUCGCCGCGGUAAUACGAAGGGUGCAAGCGUUAAUCGGAAUUACUGGGGGUAAAGCGCGCGUAGGUGGUUCAUUAAGUUGGAUGUGAAAGCCUUGGGCUCAACCUGGGAACUGCAUCCAAAACUGGUGAGCUAGAGUACGGUAGAGGGUAGUGGAAUUUCCUGUGUAGCGGUGAAAUGCGUAGAUAUAGGAAGGAACACCAGUGGCGAAGGCGACUACCUGGACUGAUACUGACACUGAGGUGCGAAAGCGUGGGGAGCAAACAGGAUUAGAUACCCCAGUAGUCCCUGUCUCUUAUAA
rnacentral:rRNA from 1 species